AUUGAACGCUGGCGGCAUGCUUUACACAUGCAAGUCGAACGGCAGCGCGGGCUUCGGCCUGGCUGCGAGUGGCGAACGGGUGAGUAAUGCAUCGGAACGUGCCCAGCUGUGGGGUAUAGCCCGGCGAAGGCCGGAUUAAUACCGCAUACGACCUGAGGGUGAACGCGGGGGACCGAAAGGCCUUGCGCUCUUGGGGCGGCCGAUGUCGGAUUAGCUAGUUGGUGGGGUAAAGGCUUACCAAGGCGACGAUCCGUAGCUGGUCUGAGAGGACGACCAGCCACACGGGGACUGAGACACGGACCAGACUCCUACGGGAGGCAGCAGUGGGGAAUUUUGGACAAUGGGGGCAACCCUGAUCCAGCCAUGCCGCGUGCGGGAAGAAGGCCUUCGGGUUGUAAACCGCUUUUGUUCGGGAAGAAAUCCUCUGGGCUAAUACCCCGGGGGGAUGACGGUACCGGAAGAAUAAGCACCGGCUAACUACGUG
rnacentral:rRNA from 1 species